AGGCGACGACGGGUAGCCGGCCUGAGAGGGCGACCGGCCACACUGGGACUGAGACACGGCCCAGACUCCUACGGGAGGCAGCAGUGGGGAAUAUUGCACAAUGGGCGAAAGCCUGAUGCAGCGACGCCGCGUGAGGGAUGACGGCCUUCGGGUUGUAAACCUCUUUCAGCAGGGAAGAAGCGAAAGUGACGGUACCUGCAGAAGAAGCGCCGGCUAACUACGUGCCAGCAGCCGCGGUAAUACGUAGGGCGCAAGCGUUGUCCGGAAUUAUUGGGCGUAAAGAGCUCGUAGGCGGCUUGUCACGUCGGUUGUGAAAGCCCGGGGCUUAACCCCGGGUCUGCAGUCGAUACGGGCAGGCUAGAGUUCGGUAGGGGAGAUCGGAAUUCCUGGUGUAGCGGUGAAAUGCGCAGAUAUCAGGAGGAACACCGGUGGCGAAGGCGGAUCUCUGGGCCGAUACUGACGCUGAGGAGCGAAAGCGUGGGGAGCGAACAGGAUUAGAUACCCUGGUAGUCCACGCCGUAAACGGUGGGCACUAGGUGUGGGCAACUUUCCAUGUUGUCCGUGCCGCAGCUAACGCAUUAAGUGCCCCGCCUGGGGAGUACGGCCGCAAGGCUAAAACUCAAAGGAAUUGACGGGGGCCCGCACAAGCGGCGGAGCAUGUGGCUUAUUUCGACGCAACGCGAAGAACCUUACCAAGGCUUGACAUACACCGGAAAGUUUCAGAGAUGGCCCCCCCCUUGUGGUCGGUGUACAGGUGGUGCAUGGCUGUUGUCAGCUCGUGUCGUGAGAUGUUGGGUUAAGUCCCGCAACGAGCGCAACCCUUGUCCCGUGUUGCCAGCAGGCCCUUGUGGUGCUGGGGACUCACGGGAGACCGCCGGGGUCAACUCGGAGGAAGGUGGGGAAGACGUCAAGUCAUCAUGCCCCUUAUGUCUUGGGCUGCACACGUGCUACAAUGGCCGGUACAAUGAGCUGCGAUACCGCGAGGUGGAGCGAAUCUCAAAAAGCCGGUCUCAGUUCGGAUUGGGGUCUGCAACUCGACCCCAUGAAGUCGGAGUCGCUAGUAAUCGCAGAUCAGCAUUGCUGCGGUGAAUACGUUCCCGGGCCUUGUACACACCGCCCGUCAUGUCACGAAAGUCGGUAACACCAGAAG
rnacentral:rRNA from 1 species